rnacentral:rRNA from 1 species
AGUGAACGCUGGCGGUGGGCCUAACACAUGCAAGUCGAACGGCAGCACAGAGGAGCUUGCUCCGUGGGUGGCGAGUGGCGACGGGUGAGGAAUACAUCGGAAUCUACUCUGUCGUGGGGGAUAACGUAGGGAAACUUACGCUAAUACCGCAUACGACCUACGGGUGAAAGCAGGGGAUCUUCGGACCUUGCGCGAUUGAAUGAGCCGAUGUCGGAUUAGCUAGUUGGCGGGGUAAAGGCCCACCAAGGCGACGAUCCGUAGCUGGUCUGAGAGGAUGAUCAGCCACACUGGAACUGAGACACGGUCCAGACUCCUACGGGAGGCAGCAGUGGGGAAUAUUGGACAAUGGGCGCAAGCCUGAUCCAGCCAUACCGCGUGGGUGAAGAAGGCCUUCGGGUUGUAAAGCCCUUUUGUUGGGAAAGAAAUCCAUCUGGUUAAUACCCGGGUGGGAUGACGGUACCCAAAGAAUAAGCACCGGCUAACUUCGUGCCAGCCGCCGCAGUAA